UACAGGGGGGGCAAGCGUUGUUCGGAAUUAUUGGGCGUAAAGCGCACGUAGGCGGCUUUUCAAGUCCCAUGUGAAAUCCCACGGCUUAACCGUGGAAGUGCAUGGGAAACUGGAGAGCUUGAGUACUUAAGAGGAUCGCGGAAUUCCCGGUGUAGAGGUGAAAUUCGUAGAUAUCGGGAGGAACACCGGUGGCGAAGGCGGCAUCCUGGACCGACACUGACGCUGAGGAGCGAAAGCCAGGGGAGCAAACGGG
rnacentral:rRNA from 1 species